rnacentral:lncRNA from 1 species
GCGGUGCCGGGAGCGGGGCGAGGAGGAGGGUGGGUAUGAGGCGGUAGCGGACCGCGGAGUCGAGACCUACCCGAACGACGCGGGCGAGCGGGGCUUUGGACGCCGGUGGAGACGCAGGCGAGGGCUGCUGUAAAAUAUUACAGGCAUACUUUGGAGAUGUUAUGGGUUUGGUUCCACAUCACUGCAAUAAAGAAGAAGAUGAGCCUUAGGUCUGAACGCCGAGGAAUUCAUGUGGAUCCUGUGCAAGAAAGGAUGUGGUUACUGUGGCAACCCUACCUGGCAGGGUUUCUGCUCCAAGUGCUGGAGGGAAGAGUAGCACAAAGCCAGGCAGAAGCAGAUUCAGGAGUACUGGGAGCUGGUGGAACGACUCCAGCGGGAGGAAGAAGAGGCCUUUGCCAGCAGUCAGAGCAGCCAAGGGGCCCAAUCCCUCACAUUCUCCAAGUUUGAAGGAAAGAAAACCAACAAGAAGACCCGCAAGGUUACCACAGUGAAGAAAUCUUCAGUACGUCUUCCAGGGUCGGAUCAAAGAAGGGCUGGAGUGCAAUGGCGCGAUCUCGGCUCACUGCAACCUCCACCUAUUGGGUUCAAGUGAUUCUCCUGCCUCAGCCUCCCAAUAGCUGGGAUUACAGAUAUUGAAAUGGAUUCCAGGCGUGUGCCUCGAGACAAGCUGGCCUGCAUCACCAAGUGCAGCAAGCACAUCUUCGAUGCCAUCAAGAUCACCUAGAACGAGCUGGCGUCAGCAGAUGACUUCCUCCCCACCCUCAUCUACAUUGUUUUGAAGGGCAACCCCCAUGCCUUCAGUCUAAUAUCCAGUAUAUCACGUGCUUCUGCAAUCCAAGCCGACUGAUGACUGGAGAGGAUGGCUACUAUUUCACCAAUCUGGUGAGUAAGUGAGUUCUUGGCGUUGUGGAGAAGGACUAGGAAGGUGGUGGUUUUGGGGAUGUGAUAGGUCACUCAGGCCCAUGACAGGUGAAUGCUUCUGUGUGAGAAGGCAGCACGGCUGAGGAAGCUCACUUUGCAUCAGGGAGCACAAGGACCAGGCCGUACAGACACUCCGCCUCCCCGCACUUGAUCAGAGAUUGUGUUUAUCCUACAGAAACAGAUGACAUGUGUUGGGCAUCACUCCCCACGGUCCUGGGUAGAAGAGUCCUUCACUUGGCAGGGCUUUUUCAACCAAUGAAUAAGGCAAAUUAUAUAUAAGUUAAUAAUGCCAUUUCGAACCGAGACAGAUGGCAGCUAAAUGAAGUUUAAUUAAAGAAUGAGCGCUGGGGCCCUUUUUAUUGGGUACUGCAUCUACUUCGACCACAAAAGACGAAGUGACCCCAACUUCAAGAACAGGCUUUGAGAUGGAAGAAAGAAACAGAAGCUUGCCAAGGAGAGAGCUGGGCUUUCCAAGUUACCUGACCUUAAAGAUGCUGAAGCUGUUCAGAAGUUCUUCCUUGAAGAAAUACAGCUUGGUGAAGAGUUACUAGCUCAAGGUGAAUAUGAGAAGGGCGUAGACCAUCUGACAAACGGAAUUGCUGUGUGUGGACAGCCACAGCAGUUACUGCAGGCCUUACAGCAAACUCUUCCACCACUAGUGUUCCAGAUGCUUUUGACUAAGCUCCCAACAAUUAGAGAAUUCUAAGUGCUCAGAGCUUGGCUGAAGAUGAUGUGGAAUGA